GGGGGCGUACCGGCUUCGACGGGGAUGUUGAGGUAUAAUAAGCGGGUCGUGGCGCCAACCACGUUAAAAGGGCAUCUUUAUAAAUUAAAGAACAACAAUAACAGAGCACUCGCAGCCGCUUAAAGCGGCGGCCGUCCUGCCCGGAAGUACCACGGUCCGGGGAUCCGCAGGGUUUUCCCUGUGAGGGUCGCGCGGGGAUCCGUCCCCGCGUAAUGGGCGUCGUUUAGUGGUGAACGUGAGCCGGUUAAGCUUUGCGCCGGCCAUGCAUUGAUGAAGCUACUGAAUCCCGCAGCCUGACAGCCGGCGGCGGGAGGAGGGAACGCAGUUGACUGUAUGCACCCGGAGAAAGUUAUACGGAGAUGUUUUCGGACAGGGGUUCAACUCCCCUCGCCUCCACCA
rnacentral:tmRNA from 1 species